UGAUGUGGAGCGAAUCCCAAAAAUAACGUCCCAGUUCGGAUUGCAGUCUGCAACUCGAGUGCAUGAAGCUGGAAUCGCUAGUAAUCGCGAAUCAGAAUGUCGCGGUGAAUACGUUCCCGGGUCUUGUACACACCGCCCGUCACACCAUGGGAGUUGGAAAUACCCGAAGCCUGUGAGCUAACUGUAAAGAGGCAGCAGUCGAAGGUAGAGCCAAUGAUUGGGGUGAAGUCGUAACAAGGUAUC
rnacentral:rRNA from 1 species